rnacentral:rRNA from 1 species
UACGGAGGGGGCAAGCGUUAUUCGGAAUUAUUGGGCGUAAAGGGCUCGUAGGUGGCCAACUAAGUCAGACGUGAAAUCCCUCGGCUUAACCGGGGAACUGCGUCUGAUACUGGAUGGCUUGAGUUCGGGAGAGGGAUGCGGAAUUCCAGGUGUAGCGGUGAAAUGCGUAGAUAUCUGGAGGAACACCGGUGGCGAAGGCGGCAUCCUGGACCGAGACUGACGCUGAGGAGCGAAAGCCAGGGGAGCAAACGGG